rnacentral:rRNA from 1 species
GAUGAACGCUGGCGGCGUGCUUAACACAUGCAAGUCGAACGGAGAACACGGAGCUUGCUCUUUGGGAUCAGUGGCGAACGGGUGAGUAUCACGCGAGCAACAUGCACCUGACUCUGGGAUAUGAGCUGGAAACGGCGUCUCAUACUGGGUAUGUGACGUGACCGCAUGGUCUGCGUAUGGAAAGGAUGUUCGGGUGGGGAUGGUUGCGCGGCCUAUCAGCUCGUUGGCGAGGUAAUGGCUCACCAAGGCGUCGACGGAUAGCCGGCCUGAGAGGGUGACCGGCCACAAUGGGACUGAGAGACGGCCCAGACGCCUACGGGAGGCAGCAGUGGGGAAUAUUGCACAAUGGCCGCAAGCCAGAUGCAGCGACGCCGCGUGAGGGAUGACGGCCUUCGAGUUGUAAACCUCUUUUAGCAGGGAAGAAGAGAAAGUGACGGUACCUGCAGAGAAAGCGCCGGCUAACUACGUG